rnacentral:lncRNA from 1 species
AAUAGCGAUAGCGAAACCGGUUGAUAUAUUAAAAAUUAUAUUAAAACUAUGUAAGUGUGCGUAUUUUCCUUUCUUAAUUUCUUAUAUAUAUGUGCGUGUAUAUUUGUUUGUGUAUGUUUCUUUACACAGACACAUGUAUAUAUACAUAUAAAUAUGUGUAUUUAAAACCCUUGACACAUAAUUCAAAGUGCUCAAUACAUGAAGGCAGAGCAAUAAAAACACACAUAGACACUCACUCCUAUGCACCUAAAUACUAGAGAGAUGCAUUAUUUCAUAGCAAGGAAUCUUUUCUUCGCUGAUAAAUUCUACACCAGAAAUUUUUUUUUUUACUAUUGAUCUAAGGUAGGAUCUGAGUUUCUCCCUUUAUAAAACUGCCAAUGAGAGAGAGAGAGAAAGAGAGAGAGAGAGAGGGAGGGAAGUUGCCUUUGUUUAAUGUUUGUUACCAAAUUUAUAUUUGACAACAUUAAUAUUUCUUUUUUGCUUUUUUUUUUAUUUUUUAGUUUUUUUUCUGGCAUGGUACUUAUGCUCUCUCCUAUUUGAUGCUGUGCGAAAAUGUUGUCGCAGAUGUUGGUGAUUGAAUUGUGUAGUCUGCCUCAUUGUGCUUCAUGUGAGUUACUUACACAACGGCCUAUGAUUUUUCUAGCAAGAAACAGCAUAACUGCAGAAGAAACCAACAAGGGUUUGGCAGAUAAUUCUUGAACAAUUAAAAGAAGUCUGCUGCUCAACAGUGCUGCACCAAAAUUUUGCACCAAUAUACUGCAGUUUCCUUGUUUGUUUUUUUCCUCGAUCUCAUCUUUUCCCCAUCUGUUCUCUUCUUUCUAUUCUUGCUUCAGCUUGCUAAUCCAGAGCAUUGGGAUCUGGUUGUCAGCCUUUCACAAAAUCUCCGUGUUUCAACAUGCUUACCUUCUAGUUUGAUCCAUUUCGUCUCCUUAGAGAGUCUGUUUUGUUCUCCCUGUGCCUCAACACUUUCUCUGCCUUUUCUAGGUAACCUCCAUUGCAUCUAUAUCAAAUAUUGAGAAUAAAAGUUCCUUAAAUAAAUAAGGCUUUGUUUUGCUGAGUGCUUUAAUUUUUUGUUCAUUAUUGAAGUGUUAACUUAUUUUUGUCUCCAUAUCAAUGUAUGUGCUGGGUUGCUGUAUUCCAAAUGGAUUACCCUGAUGGAUCUCUACUAUGAUGUUUAUACUCGUGGUAGGUUUAUAUACUCUUGAUGGGUUAUAUAUCAAAGGGUCUUAUUUUUGUUUUUUUGUUUUUUUGCAGUAUUAACUUCAUGAUAGCUUCAACUAUUGAAUAUUUGUGCAGAACUUAACCCUUUAGCAUUCAGAUUACUCUGUCAAAUAUGAUGCCCAUUCAUUAAUACUGUUUUGAGUUACCCAUGCAUUGUAGCUUGUAGCUUCAAGAUUUCGAUGAUGUUGUAAUUGUUUUGUUUUAGAAUGACAUUAUAGGAUUGGUGUGAGAGGCCAGAUCUUGCCAGUUUGAACAUAAAACAGUAGAAUAUUUGAGCCUGAUUUGGCUAGUUUAAAUGCUAAAGGGUUAAUAAUCUUUUGACCAUAAAUGUUUGUGAAUGUAAUAACUGUUGUUGUUGUUGAGUUUGUCAGCUCUGCUUGAGAAUGUCUAUAACACAAAGCAUAAUGGUUGUGUGUCCAAUCUGUAACUGUUUUGUCAUCUUUAUAGUAUAAGUGAAGGCAUAUGGCUGAUCACGAGCAGAAGUAGUGUGGAGCAUCAUAGCCAUGUGUUGAGAGGGAUUCUUUG